rnacentral:rRNA from 1 species
GCGGCGUGCUUAACACAUGCAAGUCGAACGAUGAAGCACCAGCUUGCUGGUGUGGAUUAGUGGCGAACGGGUGAGUAACACGUGAGUAACCUGCCCCUCACUCUGGGAUAAGCCUGGGAAACUGGGUCUAAUACUGGAUACGACCGAUUUCCGCAUGGAGUGUUGGUGGAAAGUUUUUGUGGUGGGGGAUGGACUCGCGGCCUAUCAGCUUGUUGGUGGGGUAAUGGCCUACCAAGCCGACGACGGGUAGCCGGCCUGAGAGGGCGACCGGCCACACUGGGACUGAGACACGGCCCAGACUCCUACGGGAGGCAGCAGUGGGGAAUAUUGCACAAUGGGCGAAAGCCUGAUGCAGCGACGCCGCGUGAGGGAUGACGGCCUUCGGGUUGUAAACCUCUUUCACCAGGGACGAAGCUAACGUGACGGUACCUGGAGAAGAAGCACCGGCUAACUACGUGCCAGCAGCCGCGGUAAUACGUAGGGUGCGAGCGUUGUCCGGAAUUAUUGGGCGUAAAGAGCUUGUAGGCGGUCUGUCGCGUCUGCUGUGAAAGACCGGGGCUUAACUCCGGUUCUGCAGUGGGUACGGGCAGACUAGAGUGUGGUAGGGGAGACUGGAAUUCCUGGUGUAGCGGUGAAAUGCGCAGAUAUCAGGAGGAACACCGAUGGCGAAGGCAGGUCUCUGGGCCAUUACUGACGCUGAGAAGCGAAAGCAUGGGGAGCGAACAGGAUUAGAUACCCUGGUAGUCCAUGCCGUAAACGUUGGGCGCUAGGUGUGGGACUCAUUCCACGAGUUCCGUGCCGCAGCUAACGCAUUAAGCGCCCCGCCUGGGGAGUACGGCCGCAAGGCUAAAACUCAAAGGAAUUGACGGGGGCCCGCACAAGCGGCGGAGCAUGCGGAUUAAUUCGAUGCAACGCGAAGAACCUUACCAAGGCUUGACAUACACCGGAAUCAUGCAGAGAUGUGU